UGGGGAAUAUUGGACAAUGGGCGAAAGCCUGAUCCAGCCAUGCCGCGUGUGUGAAGAAGGUCUUCGGAUUGUAAAGCACUUUAAGUUGGGAGGAAGGGCAUUAACCUAAUACGUUAGUGUUUUGACGUUACCGACAGAAUAAGCACCGGCUAACUCUGUGCCAGCAGCCGCGGUAAUACAGAGGGUGCAAGCGUUAAUCGGAAUUACUGGGCGUAAAGCGCGCGUAGGUGGUUUGUUAAGUUGGAUGUGAAAUCCCCGGGCUCAACCUGGGAACUGCAUUCAAAACUGACUGACUAGAGUAUGGUAGAGGGUGGUGGAAUUUCCUGUGUAGCGGUGAAUUGCGUAGAUAUAGGAAGGAACACCAGUGGCGAAGGCGACCACCUGGACUAAUACUGACACUGAGGUGCGAAAGCGUGGGGAGCAAACA
rnacentral:rRNA from 1 species